CUAGCAGGUGGCGGAGGUGUAUUUGAAUGUCGGCAGCACUGUGACAGCGAUUAGGAUGUCCUCCGUCUGCUUAGUCUUCUUUGAUCCUUGAAUUCUGUGGAGCUCAAAUAGACAACAAAGCUUUGUGGACUAGUUAAGUGUUAGCAUAAAUAUCUAGCCUUUAUCAUAUUGAGCCUCCUCAAUAAAUGUUACUCUUUUUAGUAGGAUCACAAUCUUAUUUUUAUAUUUCCAUUUUUAUAAGACAAGAAUAUAUUUAUUUAUUUUUGUGCCACCAUAGUGAAUGUACUUAUGGGUUUUAUGCCAUGAGCAUACUCAGAUGGGGCUUACUAUUUUUAAUAUUUUUAUUUUCUUUUCAAGAUGAUAUGAACCUGAUUAACUAAGCAAACUAUUUUAAAUAAUUAAAAGGAAAAAGAUAACUACCAAGUUUAUCACUUGGCAAGGCGUUUGGUGUUUUUAAGUCCUCAGAACGGGACUCUCCGUUUUCUCAGUCGUCCUGGGAUUCGCUGGAUGGCGUAGUCGGUGGUUCCGGCGGCGCCUGCUCUUCAUGUAUAACUAUCUUCUCUCUCCACACCUGACUCGGUGCUAUGGUCUCCUCAGGACAGUUCUAUUCAAUCUGUAUGCCUUUAGACCUUACCACAUCUUCUUCGUAGUCUGCCCAUCCAUCCUUGAUGAUUUGCCUUCUCUGGUUGCGGUUGCGUCAUCUUCUUCUUGUCCUGACCUGCUUAGAGUCUUCAACUAUAUAGUUAAGGUUAGUAAAAUAACGACGUACCUUCUCAGAGGAGAAGUGCAUGUGGACUUCUCCGGUUGCAAUGUUGAUGAUUGCUUUAACGGUGCUGAGGAACGGACUCCUAAGGAUGAUGGUUGGAUCGUACU
rnacentral:lncRNA from 1 species